rnacentral:rRNA from 1 species
GGGCCCGCACAAGCGGUGGAGCAUGUGGUUCAAUUCGACGCAACGCGAAGAACCUUACCAGGGCUCGAACGAUAAUUGCUACUCGUGGAAACACGAGGUUCUCUUCGGAGACGGUUAUCGAGGUGCUGCAUGGCUGUCGUCAGCUCGUGUCGUGAGAUGUUGGGUUAAGUCCCGCAACGAGCGCAACCCUUGCCCUUAGUUGCCAUCAGGUAAAGCUGGGAACCCUAAGGGAACUGUCGGCGAAAAGCCGGAGGAAGGUGGGGAUGACGUCAAGUCCUCAUGGCCCUUACGUCCUGGGCUACACACGUGCUACAAUGGCAGGUACAAAGGGUCGCCAACCCGCGAGGGGGAGCUAAUCCCAAAAAACCUGUCCCAGUCCGGAUUGCAGUCUGCAACUCGACUGCAUGAAGUCGGAAUCGCUAGUAAUCGCAGAUCAGCACGCUGCGGUGAAUACGUUCCCGGGCCUU